CCCGUUCUCACACUGCUAGAAAGAACUACCUGAGAUAGGGUAAUUUAUAAAGAAAACAGGUUUAAUGGACUCACAGUUCUGCAUGAAUGGGGAGACCUCAGGAAACUUACAGUCAUGAUGGAGGCAAAGGGGGAGCAAAGCAUGUCUUAUAUGGCAGCAGGAGAGAUUGAGAGUGAGGCGGGAAGUGUCAUACUUUAAACCGUCAGAUCUCGUGAGAACUCCCUCACUUUCACGAGAACAGCAUGAAGGAAAUCCACCCCCAUGAUCUAGUCACCUCCCUCCAGGUCCCUCCCCUGACAUGAGGGGAUUACAAUUCAAGAUGAGAUUUGAGUGGGAACACAGAGCCAAACCAUAUCAGGCACCCCCCUGCUUUCUCCUGCUCUUCAUGCUCCUAGGUCCCCCUCGGCCAAGGUCCUUCCCUCGCUUCCCAGGGGGCAGACGAGGAUGCUGUCUCCACCGCAGGCUUCUCUCCCUCCUGAGAGCCAGCACCUGCCUCAUCCGAAAUCGCCAGCCCUGAGUUUCCUCUCCUCCUCCUCCCACAACCCACCCUCCUCCUUCUCCAGGCACCUCUGUUUCUGAGGCUGGUUCUUCUCCAGCCUCACUUGUUAUUUCAAUUUCUUCUCUUCAUUUCCCCUAAUUUCACAUAUUUUCAGAGAGAGUCGAGGAAAUGAGAAACACUGUCAUCUUCAACGUGAGCUUUGAUAGAGACGAGAACAGGGCAGCCGUUACAGGACCAAAUGACUUUCUUCACACCACCGAGGAAAACACACAUGAACACCCCCAGGCUCCCCCGUCAGUGGGGGAGUGAAAUUCCCAGUCAUGCUGGCAUCCAGCAGGGCAGUCUGUGUUGCUGGGACUGCUUGGUUGCAUUCACUCCAGCUCACAUUCGGGUGACUUUGAGCUCAAGGGAC
rnacentral:lncRNA from 10 species